AUAGUAUGGAUACGCAGCUCU
rnacentral:snRNA from 1 species